AAUCAGAGUUAGACCUCUUCAUGGAAGGAUACUGCUCGGUCCUGAGCAAGCUAAAGGAAGCAAUGGAGGAACCUCAGCUGGAAUCAAUAGCCUUCAUCAACGGCAUGCAUUCUCAACUCAGGGACCUGGCCAGAUCUAAUCCCCUUUCACCUGAUGUAUUUCUGCAGGAAGCUGAAAUGAAGAAUUCAAAGUGAGGGACCAA